AGGAAUCUGCCUGGUAGUGGGGGAUAACGUCCGGAAACGGACGCUAAUACCGCAUACGUCCUACGGGAGAAAGCAGGGGACCUUCGGGCCUUGCGCUAUCAGAUGAGCCUAGGUCGGAUUAGCUAGUUGGUGGGGUAAUGGCUCACCAAGGCGACGAUCCGUAACUGGUCUGAGAGGAUGAUCAGUCACACUGGAACUGAGACACGGUCCAGACUCCUACGGGAGGCAGCAGUGGGGAAUAUUGGACAAUGGGCGAAAGCCUGAUCCAGCCAUGCCGCGUGUGUGAAGAAGGUCUUCGGAUUGUAAAGCACUUUAAGUUGGGAGGAAGGGCAGUAAAUUAAUACUUUGCUGUUUUGACGUUACCGACAGAAUAAGCACCGGCUAACUCUGUGCCAGCAGCCGCGGUAAUACAGAGGGUGCAAGCGUUAAUCGGAAUUACUGGGCGUAAAGCGCGCGUAGGUGGUUCGUUAAGUUGGAUGUGAAAUCCCCGGGCUCAACCUGGGAACUGCAUUCAAAACUGACGAGCUAGAGUAUGGUAGAGGGUGGUGGAAUUUCCUGUGUAGCGGUGAAAUGCGUAGAUAUAGGAAGGAACACCAGUGGCG
rnacentral:rRNA from 1 species